GGGAUCAUAGCUCAGUUGGGAGAGCGCAUGGCUGGCAGCCAUGAGGUCAGGGGUUCGAGCCCCCUUGGUUCCACCA
rnacentral:tRNA from 1 species